rnacentral:rRNA from 2 species
GUAACGCGUGGGAAUCUACCAUUUGCUACGGAAUAACUCAGGGAAACUUGUGCUAAUACCGUAUGUGCCCUUCGGGGGAAAGAUUUAUCGGGAAGGAUCAGCCCGCGUUGGAUUAGCUAGUUGGUGGGGUAAAGGCCUACCAAGGCGACGAUCCAUAGCUGGUCUGAGAGGAUGAUCAGCCACACUGGGACUGAGACACGGCCCAAACUCCUACGGGAGGCAGCAGUGGGGAAUAUUGGACAAUGGGCGCAAGCCUGAUCCAGCCAUGCCGCGUGAGUGAUGAAGGCCCUAGGGUUGUAAAGCUCUUUCACCGGUGAAGAUAAUGACGGUAACCGGAGAAGAAGCCCCGGCUAACUUCGUGCCAGCAGCCGCGGUAAUACGAAGGGGGCUAGCGUUGUUCGGAUUUACUGGGCGUAAAGCGCACGUAGGCGUCCUAUUAAGUCAGGGGUGAAAUCCCGGGGCUCAACCCCGGAACUGCCUUUGAUACUGUUAGUCUUGAGUAUGGAAGAGGUGAGUGGAAUUCCGAGU